rnacentral:rRNA from 1 species
UACGUAGGGUGCAAGCGUUAAUCGGAAUUACUGGGCUUAAAGCGUGCGCAGGCGGUGAUGUAAGACAGGUGUGAAAUCCCCGGGCUUAACCUGGGAACUGCAUUUGUGACUGCAUCGCUGGAGUGCGGCAGAGGGGGAUGGAAUUCCGCGUGUAGCAGUGAAAUGCGUAGAUAUGCGGAGGAACACCGAUGGCGAAGGCAAUCCCCUGGGCCUGCACUGACGCUGAGACGCGAAAGCGUGGGGAGCAAACAGG